GCCUCUUUAGCUCAGUGGUAGAGCAAUGGUCUUGUAAACUGGAGGUCGUGAGUUCAAAUCUCACAGGAGGCA